rnacentral:misc_RNA from 1 species
UUGUUAUGAUUUAGAAUCAAUAAGUCUGACUGUAGGUAUAAACUGAGUUUGAAUGGUCCUCUGGGGGAUCUCGGCGCCCGCCGCAAGGGCGAGGCACUCGAGAUAAUUAAGGGAAAACCCCGAGGCAACAAGAGGUUGGAGUACAAUGGGUUGGAGGUCGAUUCCGUUAAGAAAUCUUCACUCUGUAAUGAUCCCUCCGCAGGUUCACCUACGGAGA